GCUGAUCGAUAUCUUGGUAAAAUAUUCAUUUUUAAACUAGCGGGCAACGAAAUCUUUGCUUUGUGCUAAAGUCAACAAGUCGCCCGGUUCUCAGCUCCAAUAAAUGCCGGGAUGCUCCCGGCCCCCGCAGAGCCGGGCCGGCCGCCGGGGCGCAGGAGGACGGGAUGAAAAGCAGGAGGGUUCCUAUUGUCUCUGCGCUGCCUUCCGAGCGGACCCCACGUGUCCCCAAAGUCACCGAGCACUUGGCCCGGCCUGUCCCCUGCUGCCUCCGUGACACAAACCUAUCACGAGUGGCCCAGAAGGAUCUGGCCAGGAGAGGCUGCAGCCUGCAGCUGGGCAGAGGGAGCAGCCCCAGCCCCUGGGAGGGGCCCAACAACCCCCUGACAACAUCCAGAGAAA